rnacentral:rRNA from 1 species
UACGGGGGGGGCAAGCGUUGUUCGGAAUUACUGGGCGUAAAGGGCUCGUAGGCGGCCAACUAAGUCAGACGUGAAAUCCCCAGGCUUAACCUGGGAACUGCGUCUGAUACUGGAUGGCUUGAAUCCGGGAGAGGGAUGCAGAAUUCCAGGUGUAGCGGUGAAAUGCGUAGAUAUCUGGAGGAAUACCGGUGGCGAAGGCGGCAUCCUGGACCGGCAUUGACGCUGAGGCGCGAAGGCCAGGGGAGCGAACGGG